rnacentral:rRNA from 1 species
GAUGAACGCUGGCGGCGUGCUUAACACAUGCCAGUCGAACGAAGCACUUUAUUUGAUUUCCUUCGGGACUGAUUAUUUUGUGACUGAGUGGCGGACGGGUGAGUAACGCGUGGGUAACCUGCCUUGUACAGGGGGAUAACAGUUGGAAACGGCUGCUAAUACCGCAUAAGCGCACAGCAUCGCAUGAUGCAGUGUGAAAAACUCCGGUGGUAUAAGAUGGACCCGCGUUGGAUUAGCUAGUUGGUGAGGUAACGGCCCACCAAGGCGACGAUCCAUAGCCGACCUGAGAGGGUGACCGGACACAUUGGGACUGAGACACGGCCCAAACUCCUACGGGAGGCAGCAGUGGGGAAUAUUGCACAAUGGGCGAAAGCCUGAUGCAGCGACGCCGCGUGAGCGAAGAAGUAUUUCGGUAUGUAAAGCUCUAUCAGCAGGGAAGAUAAUGACGGUACCUGACUAAGAAGCACCGGCUAAAUACGUG